GCUAGGCAACAGUGGGCAGUCCCAACCUUAAGGGAGGGGCGCAUGACCUCGGGGAAAUAUGCAGGGCAUGAAGAAACAGAAACUUAACUAAUACUUAAGACGGCUGCUAACAUACAAUUGAGGGACUUCCCAAUACUGUAUUGACCACAUGGUGAUGUUAAAACAAAAGCGAGUGUAGAUUUCUGUAGUCUGGAAACAAAAUAAUAUGGAACAUCUUGUAGAGCUGCUAUCUGAGAGUCCCUCUUACUUUCUCAGAACCAGUGAGAAGAUCUUCCUAUUUCUGUCAAACACCAAUGUUCAGAUGUGGGUCUCAACUGUAGAUGAGUUACUGCUGUUCUUCAGGGAUGUGUUUAGGAGUCAGCGUUGUAAAGGUUUUUGCUCCUCUGCUCCACUGGCCUGUUAUGGACAAAGAGUGGCUGCAUGCAUAUUACUCAAGAAACUAUGACAGUCUCCCCAGAAUUUCUCCCUUCCCUUCCUCAAGAAAGAUGAAUAGGGUCAUCAGAAGUCUAUCACCUAUGUAAGCCCAGAAUUAUCUUCCCCCUUCUCUCCAAUUAAAAUUUUAUCUAAAUAAUUGGGACUUGCUAUCUCAGAAGGAAAUGAUGUCUCUGAAUCUCUGGGGAAGAAAACAAGAACAAAACUGUUGACUCACCAAGAAAAGAGGAUAAAAAGGAAAUAAAGCAAUACAAAACAAACAUACCUUUUAUUUUGCAAUAUCUUUUGUGAACUCACUAUCUUAAGUG
rnacentral:lncRNA from 1 species